rnacentral:rRNA from 1 species
GGACCGUAGUCAGAUCGAGUCGUGGGACGUCGGACGUGAACAGGUGUGCUAGAAACGAACAACAGUAUGUCUCCCGGCUAUCGUACCCCAAGCACAUGGCUUAGCGCUCGGGCAGCCUCAUGGACCGGUAGUGGCCCAUGCCGCACCUGCUACACUUCGACCGCUUCUUCCGCACCUAGCGCGGCCCCGUCGCCACGCGCGCGAAGCUGUAGAGGGGCCACUUGAUGUGGAAGCUCCACGUCCGCUACUCGCGGCUCUUCGAGGGGAAGCACGAGGGGCGGCAGAAGUGGUAGCCGGGCGCGCGGCUGCUGCAGCUCUCGGACGAGGCGAUGCGGUUCGAGUAGAGGGGCGUGCUGUUCGAGAGGGCGGUGCAGUUGCUCGACCAGUCCCCGCACUAGCUCCCGCUCUGCGCGCACGACCGGCGCAGGUACUGGUACCUCGUCUAGAAGGUGCCGUGGUUCAGCAAGUUCGUCCGGCACAAGCUCUCGCACGUCGACCUCGAGUUGGUCAAGCCGGAGUAGUAGAUGUUGCGGUUGCACUUCGUCGAGCACCUGCACGGGCCCGUACUCAUGAAGAGGAUGGAGCCGGUCUUCUGCGUCGUCCUCCGGCAGUUGGUCCGGUUCCACCUGCACCGGCUCCGCGCGUACUUCCCGCUCCAGCCGCGGUUCCUCGCCCUCCCGUACUGCGCGGUCUUGCGGCGGUUCCACCUGCGGCUCUGGUUCCACAUGUGCCACUUCGCGGUCCCCCUCCCGAGGUUCCUCCUCCGGUCCCACUGCCGCCUCCACUCCCACAAGUCCUUGCUCUCCCUGCGGCUCCACCGCGUCCGGCUGCGCCUCGACCGGUACUUCUUCCGGCCAACUCUCGUCGUCCGCUCCCACCGCCUCCACCUCCGCCGGUUCCGGCAGCGGUAUGCGCUGCGCAUCGACGUCCACGUCCACCUCGCGUGGUUGCGGCGGUCCGUCUGCCUCUUCGAGUUCCGGCUCGUGGAGUCGUUCCGGCAGCACCUGAUGCUCUACUUCCACGUCGUCCGGUUGACCCUCGAGAUGUUGGCCGUCUUCCGCCGCCUCCGCGACGACAAGCUCGUCCUCUCCGUCCGCCUCCGCGCGGCGCGCUGCCGCCUGCGCCUCAAGAAGCGCGCCGUCGCCCUCCGGCUCCGGCUUGAGAUGCGGUUCGCGUUCCUCCGGCUCCCCGACCGCCGGUACCCUCUCCGGGUCUCGCACAUGGACAGGAGGUACGAGCCGCGCGAGCCGCCGUCGAUGCCGCGCGAGGCGCUGAUGGAGUACUAGUCGAGUCCGCACAUAGUCCUCUACCGUGCGUAGUUGCGGCUGCGGUAGUUCCCCGAGCUCGGGUUCUAGUCGCACACCUCGUUGCCGAGACGAAGGCUCCCACCACUGCCGCGGUACUUCCUCUACCGACCCCACAUGUCCUACGAGGGCGGCGACGAUUGCUGCCAGGUGCUCGUCUGACCCUACGAUGGCGGCCGCACCUACCCGUGGGAGUUCCCUCCGUGGAGGUGCAGGUGGACUCGAACGGUGCUUCCAAAUUCAUGCACGUCAGCACGUGGCAUAUAUACGCGGUCACACUAACACUUGCGCACAAAAUAAAUGAAGCCUUUUGUACAUGAUGAGGAACUAAACGACCACUUAUUUGGU